rnacentral:lncRNA from 1 species
UGAGAAGACCAAUAUUUACAGUCGGAACACAUUACGAGAAAAGAUUGCUUAAUUGAGUGCCGAGUGCAACAACAGCGCAAUCACCAAAUGUUUCGAAAGAAAAACGUAAAAGUUUAAAAUGCAUAAUUAUCGUAAAUAAACUUAUAUAAUAUAUUAUAUAAUAUAAUUAUACAUAAUAUAAUAUGAAUAAACUUUUACACAAACAGUUUAUGAAAAUUGUUACAUAAUAAUUAUAAUAAUUAUGUGCCUCCUCGAAUAAGCAUUAAAAAUUUGUGAAUCUCACGCAGCCAAUUUCUCAAUCGAAUUCAUACUCGAGAUUGACAAAUUAAAUAAUUAAUUAAAUUCCUUUUCUCUAUUCUGUGUGCAUCAUUUGACUGGCCGUUUGAUUCAAAAGCAAGGUAGAAUUUGAAUAUCACGCGGGAAACACAAAAUGGGAGGCUAAAAAGGAACGGAAAUCUAUAGACGAGAUAAAUAUGAGUGAGUCUACAUUUUUGGCAGUACUCGCUUGCAAGUUUAUCGACGAGCAUCCGAGUGUCAUUUGCUCGAGAGCUUAUCACCGUGCUUGAGAUUGAGAUCGCUUUGUGAUCUCCGGGUACUCGCGCUCGGACCAACGUGCUCGGGACGGCUCGUAGAAGCCCCCUAGAUUUUUGUCGUCCCUUUAAAUUUGUUGUUGUGUCACGUCCGCAGGACUGGUUAUAGCCACCGCGCGUCGGAACACGUGACGAAAGAAAACAAGGUGCAGUUCGCGACCUGCCGCGGCGGGUUACAGGUUUUUCGAAUGGUUAGUACAGCGUCGGUAGGGCCAACGCCGACUUGCGUGUCGUCGAUUCACGAGAUUCUCGUCGACGACCCCGGGUGAACGCGUUUAACGCUUCUUUUCCUUUUUUUUCUUCUCCUUUUUAAGCGGCGGCGAUGUUUAGCGCGGAGCGCCUUCGAGUUCAUCAUGCAAACGAUAAUCGCAACCUCGGCGAGUUCGGAUCUCGAUAUUGCACAUGCGAAUAAUCCUCAUGUCUGAAUGUUGCAAAGUUUUUUAUUUUCCCGUGUUUCAUAACGACAAAAAUCAAACUCUACGAGAUUACAGUGAUUUCGAUAUUCGAAAUAAAGUUCGUAAAAGAAGCCAUGUUGUUGCGCUGUCUGUAAAGAUACCAGCUGCAUUAAUGAUAGAUACAUCAUCGCCUUACAGCUUCUAGCAUUAGCAUUAUAAGACGGAUAUCAUUAUGCUGAUAGCAUCGGCGCAUGUAUGAUUUAGUGGACGGAAGAAACACGUUAGUUGUACUAAACUAUUAUCUGGAUUAAAUAUCAACAUUUAAAUACUUUGAUUAUCGAUUACAAUUUUAUUGACAAGAUAUCUUUCAUGCUAGAUAAUAUUCAUUGAAGUAAUAUUUAUUUAAUUGACAUUGUUCAAAAAGAAUAGUAUCAUCAAAAAUAUAUGAAUACUCAACUCUGCAAUAUUUUAUCUUAUUUGUUGUACGUAAAAAGAAAACAUUCUCCAUAAGCAAUUUUUAAUUACAUCGUUGUCUUUCCAUGAAAUGCCUCCUUGGUACCUUCGAUCUUUGACAAAGCCAGGCAUUAUCGGAAAAGCGGGCGAAAGGUGAGAUCUUGCGCAGUGGACGAAAGAAAAUUAUUAAGCGUAUCGCAAGCGCACGCGAUCGAACGGGUCGCGAGAGUGCUUAACGACGCGUUACAUAAACGGAAAGCCAAUACAUGAGCGGAAACUCGAGGUCUCUUAAUAUCUACUCUCGCUGCCCACGUUACGUCAGCGAGACGCACGCUCAUCGUGUCUGGGACUGCGCGAUUCUACAAGUCUACCCUUUUAUAUUUCGUAUAUCGCGGACGAGAAACGAAAAGCAUCUCCCGUGCAUAUGCGCGAUAAACGUCAGCGCGUGUACGCGUUCGAGCAAGCUCGAAAUCGAGCACGAGACUCCCUCGUCCACUCGCGAGCGAUCGAGGAUCGUCCCGAUCGGGAUCGUGAACUCGUCGUGAGCAUCGCGUGCGUAUACACGGACUUCUCAUAAUGAACUUAUAAUCAGAUAAAAAAUAAUUUCAACCUGCUGCUACAUGAUUAUCUUUCGUAUACUACAUUUAUGCAAUUCACCGUAAAUUAACGUUAACGAGGCUCUCGGUUAUUCCAUAAUUUAAUGAUUAAUUCGCGAAACUUUUAAGUGCACGUGUAAGGUCGACGGUGCAGGGAUCGGGCAUACGCUCGCGCUUGGUUCGUUCCUGGAGACCCGCGUGGUGGAGGAAAGAGUGGAAGAGUGGGAGGAACGACGGCAUGUAUCGAUGGCGUCGUCAGCUGAGCGCACCGCUCACAGCUGUGCACGAGCGACGCUGUCGCCGAACAGCUGAUCGCGUCGCUGUGCUGUCAGAACAUGGCGCGCCGGAGCGGAGCACGGAUCACAACGACCAGAGAGAGUGGUCCAUUUUCAGCUUGAGCUGAUCACGGGCUCAUUUACUCCCAGGGCCGUACAGGCAUAUCUAAUGAAUUUUCUAAGAACUUUUAAUACCUUUCGCGGAGAAUGUCUAAUACAAACUUCACGGGAAGUCGUCAUGAAUCAUGAAUCUAUAAAUCAUGUACACGUCACGUUUAAAUGUAGACUGUGUUAAACGUAAUUAUCUCAUCUUUUUGUCUUUCUCAUCAUACUACAUCCUAUUUAAUAAAGAAAAUGGCAAAAUGAAACACGAAUAAAAGAUAUUAGAUUAAUGAAAAGAGUCACUUUUGCCGUCAGAAAAUUUACAAAUUUUAAAAACACAGAAUUCUUUAAAUCUAGCAUGCAAAAGCUUGGUUAGAGAUGAAAAAAUGAUAUUGGAGCCAACCGUGACUAUUUCGAUUAAUAAAAAUUGUUUCGAAGAUUCUAUAAUUUUGUCUUCUUUUUCUAUAAUGAUACAUACGAUAAACAUUUUCGACGAAUCUAAUAAUAAAUGAUUUAUCGCAGACGUGUGCGAAAUAAAUAGAUCCUGGCAAUCUUGUUUCUGAAAUCUUGCUUCUGAAAAUAUUUGACUUUCUUUGUAUAAUAUUCUUUCUCUCUUGUUUGUAAAAUCAUAAAAAAUACUUUUUAGAAAAAGAAAGAAUAGUUUUGUAAAAGAUUGCAAUGAUCGCGGUACAUAAAAUUCCCUCUUUUUAUUUUGUGUGCCCGUUUAAACUUAUUAAAUCAACAUAAUUUCUCUCGUUUUUUGGUUAGUCUUUCUAUCUUGCCAUUUUAAUUGAAUCUCUCCGUAAAUGAUGAUAAGGAACGAGUCAGACUUGUCUGAGAUAUCGCGUGGUAUGUACGUCGAUCCUAUUCGUUCUUCGACUGGCAAAGGAACGCUUUCAAGUCUACCCAGAAAUAAACUCGCUCUUCCGGUAGGUUUGUCGGCGUUGACGAUGGCGAAACGCAGCACUUUAUCGGCGAGAAUAUCAUGCGUAUUUGUGGCACAUAUUUAACCUUAUUAGAGAUAAAACUUUAUUAUCCUUUACAUGCUCUAAUCGUCUCUCAAUGUUAAGAUUACGAGAUGAAAAAUACAUCAAAACACAUUCGGAAAACAAAUAUUUCAGAUUAAUUACUUGAGACUCUGUUACGUUUCGUAUUUAUUAUUAAGCUCGUUAUACAAGCUCAUAAAUUAAACAUAAAAAUACGUGUAAAAAGAAAUUCUCCCAGAAGAACGCAACAUAAAAGUACGCGAAGCAGUACCGCUCGAUAUGACCUUUAACUUUAAUAUCGGCACAUUGCAGUCAGUUAAUCGUAGUUAAUCAUCGUAGAACAGUUGAUCAUCGUAAUACACCGUUCUACGCGCGCUUAGUUUCUUGCUUAGAAAAUUCAAACCAAAUCGAUAUCUUUCAGCUGGGUCACCUAAAAAAAUCCAGAGCGCCUAUCUACCGGGCGUUCCGCAUUUUAUGAGCGAUCGUAAGCUCGAAACUGGGUCGACUGGCCCACGUGGCGAGGGGGUGUACGGUUUCCGGAUGAAUCUAUCCUGAUCGUAAAAAAAUAGAUAUUUUGCAAUAAUAAUAAUAAUAAUAACAACAGCCUCAUAUAAAAACAACUCAUUUGGAAAUAAAAUUUUAAGAUUUUAUUUGUAAAAUUCCUCUUCGGUAUUACAAAUCGCUUAUUUUAUAUUUUGGUGCCAGCCAAUCGAGCGACCAGCUGGUGAAGAGUUACAACGGAACGCGGUUUCCCGUAACCGUACCAUACGUUUUGUAAGUGGCGCGUUUGAACGCGCAACCUAAAAUAGACACUGCCGAUUCCGGCUGUUUCACGGUGGAACGACAUGAUACAAGUAAAAUCCGCGCACUGGUGAAAGUGAGUUUCGAUGGUUCGGGGGAGAAAGAGAUCAUUGAUCUGAUUUCGUUCGUAAGAACUCUGCUCUGGUGUGGUGUAUCUAUGAGUUUGGCUUUCGCAAGAUAUUUAUCCACACGCGCGACCAAAUAAGAUGUAAAUUUGUACAAAAGAGCCAAAACACGUUAGGUAAAGAGAAAUAGAUUUUAUCUCGCAUUUACCAACUGCGCCUCUCAAUUUUGUACUUGGAAUUCUAUAAGAGAAUCCAAGCACUUGGAUCAUCCGAUUUCUUUUUCGAGUUUUUUCAGAUUCCGCAAUAUCUUGGAAUUUUACCGUUUUCCUAAGUUUCGUCACUCGCGGAUGAUUCGUCGAAGUGUGGAGAACAUCUCGACUUGGAAUAAAGGUUUCUGCUUGUGAAGGCAGGGCAAAGCCGAGACCAGGGAGGGUAACGAGGUCAACGGGUGGGAAGCAGUGGGUGCAGAUCUAGGUUACCUGUAUAUUAUGCAACCAACACUACUGUAAUUUCAUGAUUGCGCGUGCAUAUGCCCACCUACGUGCGCAGAGCGCGCAGUGCGAAACAACAAUGGAAAAGUAACAAUGGACUUUAUUCAACAAAUUUAUUCGAAAAUUGCGCAGCGGAAGGAAAGGAGAUAACAAUCCAUGAGUCAAAUGUCCAAUCGUAAUUGUAUUAUUUUAACUCACUGUGAAAGAACGAUUGAUUUGCCGUCAGAACCACUACUAUUGUAUAUUAAUACGGCUUCUGCAGUCGAUUCGAAAAUAAUUUAUCCUUGGCGACAAAACGUCGAAGGCUUUGUAUUUCUUAACGUUGUACAUUUUUGUAAUUAUUCACUGUUAUCUCCUUUGGAAAAUUUAAGUCACUAAGAUGACUUUGUAUCGGCACUCGUUAAUUAUUCGAAGAUGAAGCGUCUCAAUUAUUUUCAUUGAGAAAAAGCUGAGACCUUGCACAAAGAGACAUGUUGCAAGACUGCCGCUUUUGGACUAUCCUAUACGCGUACAUUUCCGUUUGCCACCACGUGUCCCCUGAUAUCGCGGGGCCUUACGUAAUGUAUAAGAGACGGAAAGCUAGAGAGAGACCAAACGUGUUUCCUAGCGCGUGCAGCCUUGCCGAGGGACGACAACGACGACGGUGCAACGCGCGGUCGCGCUGCACCUUCGGUCGCGGGUCGCCUAUAAGCGAACCUCGUAUUUAUAGACAUUCUCAACCAAGGCCGAUCCGCAAUUUUAACUCACGUGGACACAACGCACGGGACCUCACCUCUCGCGUGAUGCUUUUUUCUUUGACACUUCAAGAACAUUGGCUAUUGCUUUCCUGGGAGACUUAAAAAGCACUCCGAAACGAAAAGAAGCAACUUAUACAAGGAGAACUGAGUAUCGACAUAUCUAUGAGAAACUUUAGAGCGGAAAAACUGUUGGAAAAAGAUAAUGUUAAUUAAAACAAAUUAAUGUUGGAUCAUCAAUAGGAAUUUAAAAGAAACUUUAGAGAUUAGAUUUCGAGACGUGUUUAGACAGUUACAUAAUUAUAAAGCUAUAAAAUACUAAUAAUUAUAAUACGUUAAUUUGCUUUUAAGAAUUAAAAAAUAGUUCACGAGGGGGAGAAAUAACUUUUCCUUCUUUUUUUAUUUUCAGGAAAGUUUUACUUCAAAAUUCGCAUAAAGAAUGAUUGAAGAAUCCAAAUAUUGCAUUUUGCGCCGUCACCUUGUAUUUUUUUAGAUGCACAUCCAAAACAGCUAAGUUGAAUGAACGAGCCUGAGACGACGUCCUCUCCUGUUUUGACACAGUCAAGCGAAAAAGAGUAUUUCUUUGGACUGUACUGCCGUUCAAAAGGUUUGAACACUAAUUAACGCUCGAUAAAGAUAUAAUGGAAGAGGUAAUGGGAUUUUUAGAGAAUGUAUCUACAAUCGCCAAAUUCGACCUCUUAAAUACAGAGAACUCAUGUACCAUUUAGGUGUUUUCGAGUGCACUUCACUUAUCAAGUUUGAUAAAUAAUUGUCGAUAUGAUCGUGAUAAGAUUUACUCGCAUUUAGCUAUAAUAUAUUUUAUAAUGUAUUUAUAAAAAAAAUAUAUUCAGUAAACUGUGUGUUAAUAUUC